rnacentral:rRNA from 1 species
CCUACGGGAGGCUGCAGUGAGGAAUAUUGGUCAAUGGGCGCGAGCCUGAACCAGCCAAGUAGCGUGAAGGAUGACUGCCCUACGGGUUGUAAACUUCUUUUAUAAAGGAAUAAAGUGAGGCACGUGUGCCUUUUUGUAUGUACCUUCUGAAUAAGGAUCGGCUAACUCCGUGCAAGCAGCCGCGGUAAUACGGAGGAUCCGAGCGUUAUCCGGAUUUAUUGGGUUUAAUGGGUGCGUAGGCGGCCUUUUAAGUCAGCGGUGAAAGUCUGUGGCUCAACCAUAGAAUUGCCGUUGAAACUGGGGGGCUUGAGGAUGUUUGAGGCAGGCGGAAUGCGUGGUGUAGCGGUGAAAUGCUUAGAUAUCACGCAGAACCCCGAUUGCGAAGGCAGGCUGCCAAGCCAUGACUGACGCUGAUGCACGAAAGCGUGGGGAUCAAACAGGAUUAGAUACCCCGGUAGUC